rnacentral:lncRNA from 1 species
AAGGCGCAAGAAGCUAGUAUUGUUUCAGGAUGCAAGCCCUUAUCUUUUGUAUGCAAAACGGGAGUAAUUAACAAGGUUCAGCGGAAACAGCAACAUGUAGCACAAGUUUUGCCUCCAAGAACAUACACUGGGUAGCAAACAGAGAUUAUUACAAAUCUUGAUGUACUCCAUCAGAGGAGCGGAAACUAGAAAGAACAUAGCGACCGAAUACAAAAAGUUCCCAAGUGCAUCCAACGACAACAAGACAACUGCACGGUACAACGACAUGAUCUCAUACCCAAGCUGCAAAGGAUGUAGGAUUAUGAGCAAGAUGAGCAUUGAUCGUCGCAAAACAAGGUUCUGGCUCCAACUCCUCAUUUUGGUUGCCAUCUACUGGGUAUGAAAAUACUCGAGCGUUUUCAUCCAACUGGUAGACAAGGCCACCCCUUAAACCCAUCCUCUCUGGGUUCACUAAGUGUCGUGGAUGUCCAAUGUGUUUCUGGCCAUAGAAGAACGCCCACUUCUUCAAGCCUCCCUCUUCUAAUCUCACAAACUUUGCAGGUUCAGUUGAGAAAUCAAUGGAGAAGGCUUCCCCGUUACGACCAAGUAGGAGAAGUGUGUCUUCACAAGCCACCAAAUUUCCGGAAAGCACGUAUGGGUCCAUAUAAUCUCUGCAAUCAACUCUUAGUAGCUCAACAUGAAACUGAGGUGUCAAAUACACGGUGUAUAGUUUUUGACGCAUCUUCAAAAUGAACCGGCCUUUGAAGGACACCAUCUCCUUGAUCAAAUGUGCAUUUAGAAAAUCGCAGUUCAACCAAGAGGGGCUCCCAACUCGCCAAACGUACAGGCAGUGUGGGCUGCUGACAAAUAGAUAUGAAUCCGGUGACGCUUCUGGAGAUAUGAAGGUUCUGUAGCAGAGUUGAUUCAACGGGAAAGGUGGAGCUGCAACCGUAGUGCCAAUGAGCACGUCCAUAAUGAUAAGGGAUCUGUCGUAGCAGAAAAUUGCAUGAUCAUAAGAACAUUUGAUGACUACCACUUUGUCCAAAAUACUUGGAGGGGUCAAGCGACACAACGGAGUACUUGGAUAUACAGGAUCAAUGAGCUCCCAUGUGUUUCCAAUGUUCGAGCCAGCUGAGCUUGUCUCGUCGGCACAGUUCCGAAAAAUAACAGGUGGGAAGAGCUUGCCUAAGGUAGAUCUGAUUGACAUGAAUGCGGCAUACCAGCUAGGGCAGGUGGCAAUGAAUGCAAGAAGGUCACGAGUUGAACCCAACAGGACAAUGAUGGAGUGCAAUAAUCCAUAUGGUAGGUCCGCCCAGCCUUCGGGUCCAAACAUGACACAGUGCACAGAGAUGGGGGUGUUGGAGCUCUGGUUGAUGUUUUGCAUGAUAUCAGCUCCAAAUUCUGCAUUAAGGAUCAUGAAAGGACAACAAUUUUAGCAAUGGACUUGAGUUAACUAUAUAAUAUAAAUUGUUGUCACUAUUUUAAUUCACUUGGUACUAAUACAACUAUGAUAAUUAUACAAACACAAUAAAAAUGUUUGUAGAAACUGUAAACAUAAUACACAAUAGAGUAAAGAUUAGGGUAUUGCCAUCCAAACGUGCAUGUGCCUCAAGAAAAUUCGAUCAUGACAAAAUUCAUCAACAUUUGAAAAUAAAAUGCAAGUUCUGUAUUUUUCUUUCCAUCGAAUGUUAUUUAUAUGUGUUGCCCUUCCUCAUUUCUUGCCCGGCCCCCAUGGACGACUUCAUAGUCAUCUUCAUCACCUUGCCACCGAUAGCCAUCCAUGAAACCACGCAAGAGCAGGCGGUCCCACACCUGCCCGGAUUCCGGGUCCGCAAUAAGGCUCUUCAGCUUGCAUCUUCGACACGGACAUCUUAUCUCUGUCUCGUUCUUUUGAAGCAUCUCGGCCUUCGCGGACCUCAAAAACCUAUUCACGAUGCCUUCAGUCAUCGUGCGGACCAUGGUCGCCUGCGGGGUAGAGCAAAACGAUAUUUUAGAACCAAGAAAAAAUUUGGCAUGACUUUCCCUAAAAAUAGGACCAAAAAGAAUGCUUAAUGCCAAAAUUCUCGCCGAAACAGAAAUGAAUCAACAUUCCGGCAAAACAUUGGCAACUAUCGCAUUUCAAAUACAGGUACACCUCCAAAUACAAACACAUAUGCAACACCACAAACAUAUGCAACACCACGAACAUGCAUAGAUCUAGCUAGGCCAUAAAAAGUGCAUGUGCACAUUUUUGUAGGGAGAACAACAUAAAUAUAGCUUCCCCCUUACUUACCUAUCAAAACAAGGUAAUUUAACCACGUAAAUUGAAUGAACCUAUGGUGGAAAUGAGGUGAAAAAGAGGAGGCACCCGAGACAAGGAGGAGGUGGAGAGAAUGAAGUGGGGAGAAAGUGAGUGUGGGUAGGAGAGGCUGUCCAAAAUAUCUUGUUGCUGCCCACUUACUAAUGGCGCACCAACUCUAAAUGCGCCAUUAGUAAUCCAGGUUACUAAUGGCGCACCUUCUGGUGGUGCGCCAUUAGUAGUUUUGCAAAAAAAAACAUACUAAUGGCGCACUGUCCCGCAGUGCGCCAUUACUAGUUUAAACUAGUAAUGGCGCACGGUGGAACAGUGCGCCAUUAGUAGUUUUGCAAAAAAGGAAUAAAAAAUAUAAUUAAAAAAACAACAUUAGUGGCGCACUUUCCGACAGGUGCGCCAUUACUAGUUACAACUAGUAAUGGCGCACUGUGUCUGGAUGCACCAUUAGUAUGUUUGGACAGGCGCACUAGUUCAAAUUUUUUUUGAUACUAAUGGCGCACCCUCGGCCUGGUGCGCCAUUAGUAGUUUCAACUCUAAUGGCGUAUCAGAAGGUGGUGCGCCAUUAGUAUAUACUAAUGGCGCACCGCUUGUCUGGUGCGCCAUUAGUGUCAAUCCCAUCUAUAGCCCUUCUUCUAGUAGUGAAUUGCCUUGCGCCGGGCUGUCCAGAUUGCCCAGAGUGUGACCGAGAGCAAUACGAACGAUCAUGCGUGAGCGACUGCAUGAAGGUGAAGAGCCACUGCUUGGCAUUGGGUUCUGUGUUGGAUACCAGAUUUUGAGCCAACUCCUCAUCAACAAGAGCCCAUACACAUCUCGAGCUAGUACAGUUUACCAAGGAGUGUCUCCAUGAAUCAGGAGAGCCACAUAAAUUGCAAUAAGCAUUAUCUGCCAUGUGCCGAUGAGCCCUAAUGUCCUCCGUAGGAAGGGAUUGCUUUGACAAAUGCCAGAGGAACAUCCUAACCUUUCCCAGGACCUGGGUCUUCCACAAAGAUUUCCAUGCUCCUUCCUCCCGCGCAUUAUUUGAUGUGCCAGCCGUUCCCUCAAGCCAUGCCUCACGACGCUGUCUUGUUGCUACAAGCAUGCGGUAAGCAGAUCUGACAGAGAAGUUUCCGCUUGAUUCAAAAUUCCAUCCCCAAAAAUCUUGGAGAUUGCGGGUGCACACCAGAAUCCCCAAUAUGAUCUGAGCAUCCAUGGGCAUAAAAACUUGGUUGACUAGCUGGAUAUUGCAUGAAGCACUCGUCUGGUCGAUCAGUUCCGAGACCAGGUUUGGCGGAUUUGGGUGAAUACUCCCAUACGGGCGUAACAUCUCAUCCCUUGGUAGCCACUGGUCUUCCCAGAUGCGAGUUGAUUGACCAUUGCCAAUUCUAUGAAUGAGCCCUUGUUUCAAUGUGUCCCUGCCUUCGAUAAUGGCUUGCCAUAUCUAACUUGGAUGGUUGCCCAAGGUUGCCUCCAAAAUGGAUGAGUCAGGGAAAUAUAUGCUCUUCAACACACGCGCACUAAGGGAAUCUGGUGUUUGGAGUAAUCUCCAUGCUUGUCGUGCUAACAUCACCAUAUUGAACAGUUCAAAGUCUUUAAACCCUAGGCCUCCCAUUCUCUUUGGCUGCGUCAUGCUUUUCCAAGAUACCCAGUGAGGUUUUCUUUUGCCAUCUUUGCUCCCCACCAGAACUUCCUAAUAAGCAUAUUAAGAUGCUCACAUAAACCCCUUAGGAGUUUGAAGCAUGACAUUGAGAAAACUGGUAUGGAUUGGGCAACUGAUUUGACUAGAACCUCCUUGCCUGCCGUUGACAUGGUGUUUUCCACCCAACCCUGCACCUUGCUCCAUAAACGAUCUUUGAGGUAUUUAAAGGCCCCAUUCUUCGAACUCCCAAUAUCUGAUGGCAUCCCUAGAUACUUCUCAUUUAAAGUUUCAUUGGGUAUAUUGAGUAAAUCCUUUAUUUCAGUUCUGGUAGCCUCCAGCACCCCCUUGCUAAAAAAUAUUGAAGAUUUUGCAAAGUUCACUCGCUGACCUGAUGCUUGACAAUAUGUAUUCAGUACUAGGUUCACCUCAUUAGCUCCUGCACUAUUUGCCUUGCAGAACAGCAGGCUGUCAUCAGCGAAUAACAGAUGGCUAAUUGGUGGCGCCGUAGGAGCCACUUGUACACCACCCAGAUUGGAUGACUCACUCUUUGAUUUUAACAGGCACGACAGGCCCUCUGCUGCUAGCAAGAACAAGUACGCAGAUAUUGGGUCCCCUUGUCUGAUUCCUCUUGAAGGUUGGAAUUCCUCCAGUCUCUUCCCAUUAAACAUGACAGAAAACUGUAUAGUAGUGACCAGUCCCAUAACUAUGUCCACCCAUCUCUCAGUGAACCCCAGCUUUACCAUGAUUGCUCUCAAAUAUGGCCACUCCACCCUAUCAUAGGCCUUCAUCAUGUCUAGCUUCAGGGCAAAAGACUGGUGUUCUUUGGCUUUAUUUCUCUACAUAAAAUGUAGGCACUCGUAAGCAGUGAUGAUGUUAUCAGUGACUAGUCUGCCAAGGACAAAAGCAGAUUGUUCCUCAGAAAUAAUGUCAGGUAGUACCACCUUAAGGCGAUUGGAGAUAACUUUGGGAGCAAUUUUGUAGAGAACAUUACACAAACUAAUGGGACGAAACUGGUUCAGUAGGGUUGGAUUUUUGACCUUGGGAAUCAACACCAAUACAGUCUCAUUGAUGCAUGUUGCCGAUUCUGUGCCCUCAACAAUUUUAAGCACGACUUUGGUGAUCUCGUCUCUGUAGGGUUUCGUAGUAAUUUCAAAAAAAUUCCUACGCUCACGCAAGAUCAUGGUGAUGCAUAGCAACGAGAGGGGAGAGUAUGAUCUAAGUACCCUUGUAGAUCGACAACGGAAGCGUUUGGUUGAUGUAGUCGUACGUCUUCACGGCCCGACCGAUCAAGCACCGAAACUACGGCACCUUCGAGUUCUAGCACACGUUCAGCUCGAUGACGAUCCCCGGACUCCGAUCCAGCAAAGUGUCGGGGAAGAGUUCCGUCAGCACGACGGCGUGGUGACGAUCUUGAUGUACUACUGCAGCAGGGCUUCGCCUAAACACCGCUACAAUAUUAUCGAGGACUAUGGUGGAAGGGGGCACCACACACGGCUAAGAAUAUGAUCACGUGGAUCAACUUGUGUUUGUCUGGGGUGCCCCUGCCUCUCUAUAUAAAGGCUCAAGGGGGGUGCGGCCGGCCUAGGAGAGGCGCGCUAGGAGGAGUCCUACUCCCUCUGGGAGUAGGAUCCCCCCCCCCAAUCCUAGUUGGAAUAGGAUUCGCGGAGGGGGGAAAGAGAGAGAAGGGGGCCGCCCCCCUCAUCUUGUCCUAUUCGGACCAAGGGAGGGGAGGGGCGCGCGGCCCAUCUUGGGCUGCCCCUUCUCUUUUCCACUAAGGCCCACUUAGGCCCAUAUAGCUCCCCAGGGGUUCCGGUAACCUCCCGGUACUCCGGUAAAAUCCUGAUUUCACCCAGAACACUUCCGAUAUCCAAACAUAAGCUUCCAAUAUAUCAAUCUUUAUGUCUCGACCAUUUCGAGACUCCUCGUCAUGUCCGUGAUCACAUCCGGGACUCCGAACAACCUUCGGUACAUCAAAAUGCAUAAACUCAUAAUAUAACUGUCAUCGUAACCUUAAGCGUGCGGACCCUACGGGUUCGAGAACAAUGUAGACAUGACCGAGACACGUCUCAGGUCAAUAACCAAUAGCGGAACCUGGAUGCUCAUAUUGGCUCCUACAUAUUCUACGAAGAUCUUUUAUCGGUCAGACCGCAUAACAACAUAAGUUGUUCCCUUUGUCAUCGGCAGGUGACAAUGAAUGCAAGAAGGUCACGAGUUGAACCCAACAGGACAAUGAUGGAGUGCAAUAAUCCAUGUGGUAGGUCCGCCCAGCCUUCGGGUCCAAACAUGACACAGUGCACGGAGAUGGGGGUGUUGGAGCUCUGGUUGAUGUUUUGCAUGAUAUCAGCUCCAAAUUCUGCAUUAAGGAUCAUGAAAGGACAACAAUUUUAGCAAUGGACUUGAGUUAACUAUAUAAUAUAAAUUGUUGUCACUAUUUUAAUUCACUUGGUACUAAUACAACUAUGAUAAUUAUACAAACACAAUAAAAAUGUUUGUAGAAACUGUAAACAUAAUACACAAUAGAGUAAAGAUUAGGGUAUUGCCAUCCAAACGUGCAUGUGCCUCAAGAAAAUUCGAUCAUGACAAAAUUCAUCAACAUUUGAAAAUAAAAUGCAAGUUCUGUAUUUUUCUUUCCAUCGAAUGUUAUUUAUAUGUGUUGCACAACAGGUUUGGCUCUUGUAUCCACCUCGAUCUCGGGCCCGCACAUACGCGAUAAAUUUCAUCAACAUUUGAAAUUAAAAGGUGCAAGCAAUAUUGAAAUACUAAGAUUGUUCUACACUGAUAGUGGUAAACCCUUGAACUAUUUCAUAGUUUUCAUAUAGUAUAAACACAACAGGAUCACACAUCCACCAACAACACAUACACUCAAAUCCCCAAAUCAUCCGGUCAGGCUAACAAGAACAAAAGUGCGAUGAGCGCGUCAGAGGAGGUCACCCCCAAUGGGGGUGAUGGCGGGACAAGGAAGAUGAUCCUGGGCAGCCUUGUGCGGUGGAGAACUCUGUUUGACCGUGGACGGUGGCACCGGUCAGUGAAUAUAUAUACUCGGCCAACCCACGAGACCAUGUCCUACACAUAAAUUGACUUAACCUAGAUCACAUCGUAUCCUACAUAUUUGGGACUCAAGCUUGACUCAAACACGUGAACUCCUACUAGUAAAUCUACAUGACUUUGGUUAGUCCCCAAAGAACUAAAGCCACGUGACAUGCAAGCACCAACUACGUCAUGUUCCAAACAAAACAAUCAAGAUUAUGCUAACACUAGCGCCGGCCCCCUGCACCACCAAUGGUUGUCAUGGGUUCUCAACUCCAACAUGAGGUGGGGAAGGUCUCGUUCACGAUACCGGCAAUCACUCCAAAGCUGCGUGUAGGUACAAAUCAGAGCAAGGGGGCAGAACUCGACAUCAACUUGGUUCCUUCAUGAGUCCGGCAGCCAGCAAGGAAAAUGAAGUGGGCAAAGUCAACCUCAACCAGGCUCAUCCCCUACCCCCUGGAGCCGGUAACACGAAAGCCAAGCACCACAAAGAUAAGAAUAGCCUCAAGGGUAAGCCAAGGAAGGAGGUAGAUCAAUCCUUGGUGAACACCAGGGCGGUGUUGGGUAAAUGCAUGGGACGUGAAAAGUGAGUCUGGUAGUGAGUUUGUGACGACACCUAGUUACACGGGUCCUGGUCUGAACAAGAAGGCAUGAGGUGAGGGUAAUGGAGGUGGCAUGAGCAACAUAGGUCUGUUAGGUGGUAAGGAAGCUAUCGGCCCAUGGGUUGUCGAUGAAUGACAUGUGAUAAGGAAGGCACCUGUCAGGAGAAAUGAGUUGCCUGAUCUAGAACUGUUGGGGCCUCAGGCAGUCCCAGAUAGUUGAAGAGCUAGUUUUCCUCGUGCGCACAUACACCACUCGAUGAUUAUUUUACUUCUAAAACUCGACAAUGUGAAAUAGUUUCAAUAAUCUUAGGUGGAUGCUAGGCCGCAGGAAUUAUAUUACGCAUGAUGGUAAGGGCAAUGGUGCCAACAUUGCGUUGUUCUGAGAUGAAAGAACUAAAAUAAAAAAGACUGCCAUAUAUGACCUGAGGUACAUUGAUGUCUUUAUUCAAGAUGAUUCCCAUGGCCCGAAGUGUCGGGCUACAUGGUGAACCAAGGAGCCAGGAAGACGUUACAUCUGGAGUUUACUCAAAAGAAUAAAGCCAAAUGCUCAUGAACACUUGUUGAUGAUAGGUGAUUUUUAUGAGACGAUGUGGCAACAUGAGCACUUCUUAGUAGCUUGGAUAUCCGACAGAAAAAUACCAAUUUUAGAGAAGCCUUGUUCUAGUGUGAUAUUCAUAAUUGGGGCUAUAAGGGGCCAUCUUGGACAUGCGAUAAUAAACAGUAUGGCAAAAGCAAUGUGACCGUCGGGUUGAAAGUGCAGUUGCAUCGUCGGGUUGGUGUGAUUUAUUCAAAGUGAACAGUGGUACACACAUAUGCUCCAACCACUUUCCUCUAUGGCUGCAAUACGGGAGACAGACCAAGGUGCAUAGCAACGUGAAAUCCUUUCGGUAUGAGUAGAUAUGGGAAAGAGUACCGUCGAUGGAGAUUGAAGUCCCUGGACGAUGACUGCACUAAGUUGGGAGUGCUGCAACAGGAUGUUUGGUCCUGGACAUGAAAGAUUUUGGGCCAUGAUAAGGAGUACUCAUUGGCUGAGAAGGAAUAUUAUAGUCACAUACUAUAUGCACCAUCUUAUUGGUUGCGAACUGUUGAAAUAUAUUGCCUGCCUCCCUCCAUCAGUUCGGACUUUUGGAUGAGUUGGCUGGAGCAUGAAUUCAAUAUGGUAUCCGAGCCAAGAGGUCUUGAGUUCAAGACCCUACCGACGCAGUAUUAAAUAAAAUGAUUUUGCGGCCUACAUCGACCCCACGUCUAAGGACUAAAAUAACCUAGACGUGAGGGGGAGUGUUGAAAUAUAUUGCCCGCCUCUCUCCAUCAGUUCAGACUUUUGGAUGAGCUGGCUAGAGCAUGAAUUCAAUACGGAUGGUCUGGAAAGCAUCUUAAGAAAGCAAGUCUUGGAAGGGAGGUUAAUUGCUAGGGGAGACUCGGUGUCUCUAAACUAAUGUUUGUUGAUGGAAGCCUUUUGUUCUUCAAGGCCAUAGGAAGAGAGGCGAGGGUAGUGAAGGACACUCCAAAUCUAUUUCAAAGGUGUACAUGAUAGCUUCUUAGCCCAGCUAAAUGCUCUUUAUUAUUUAGUGAACACUGCCCGCAUGUCCAGUAAGAGAUAAAGGUAACCCUUGGUGUUGUAACUUCCACUUUUGAGAGUAAAUAUUUGGGUUUACCAACCCCAGAAGGUAGGAUGUUUGACUCGAAUUUCAAUCGAUCAUGGAAAGGUUCACAAAAAUGUGCAACGACUGGAUUAAAAAGUAUAUGACCCAUGCAGCUAAAGAGAUCUUGAUCAAGUAAGUGGUUCAAGCGCUUCUCACUUACUUGUUUGGAUUGUUCAAAUAUCCUUGGGCUUUUUUGAAAAGUUGGGCUUUUUGUGGUAAGUAUGAAAAACUUAUCUGGGACUUUAGGUGGGGCGGUGAGUAAGGACAUCACAAGUCCAUUGGCUCUCCUGGUACCAACCGGUAAAACAAAAGAGAGGAGAUGUUCUAGGAUUAUGGGAUAGGUAUAUGUUUAACCAAGCUCUCUUGGAAUGGCAAGGGUGGAUACUCAUUCACAAGCCGGAUAGUUUAUGUUCUAGAAUCUUGAAAUGAGAAUAUUAUCCUCGUGUGAAUAUUCUAGACAUGGUCAUUUCCUAUUAUGCAUCGCCGGCUUGGCGUUAAGAUACUCAAGCAAAUACAUCAUCUGGCGUAUAGAGAAUGGAUGAAAAAUUCAGAUUCAAAGAGACAACUGGAUUCUAAGAUAGUAUGGCCUCAGGUCACCAAAUUCGCUAGAAACUCGAGGUUGAGGUAGGUUAACCAGUUGAUUGUCUCAAUAAAAAUGAAUGGAAUAUUAACCUUGUCCAUAGGCUAUUUUCUGACGUCAAUGCAGAGGAGAUAUUUCGCAUAAAUCACCCUUCUACGUGAUGGAUAACUUGCUUAUAAACUUGCCACCCAACUCACAUUCAGGUACAAUUCCCCUGCUUCUAGCUCUUCAAGUGCGACAUAUAAUUGGAGUAUUUGGGGUGUGUUUUGGAGAGCUAAGGUUCCAAAGAAGGUUAAGGUCUUUGGCUGGAGGUUGCUACUGGCUCACUGGCUACACAAUUUUGUAAAUUUAUAAAGGUGCUGAGUGUAACACCAUUUAUGCUAUUUCUGGUAACAAUGUGGAGCUUGAAUUCCAAUCCACGAUGGCUUUGUGGUGUUGGCUAGUGUCCCAUCAAUACUUCUUUUUCCCACCUGUCUAAUGAUUGCAAUCAGUCUAUAGUAAUAUACAAGUCUAGUGUUUUCCUCCAAUAAAAUAAAAUAAACACAACUCGAAGAUGAACUAAAUUUUUACAUUAAUUUUCCUAGAAAAAAAUAGGGCGAGUUCUUCUCCUACCUUCUUUGGUGUUGACAGCGGAGGGCGAAGUGGAGGCAACAACUACAUUCUCCGAUGCCAGUCGUGGUAAGACGAGGCCAUCGGAUUCAGUAUGCUGCUUUCGUCCAUCGCCAAUCAUCAUGUUUCCUCCAGAUCUGGGGAAAACGGACGCCUUCGACCGCGGUGACUCCAGAUCUGGAUGUGACUAGUCGCCCGCACCUAGGAUUCCAGAUCUGGAUGCGACUGGUCGCCCGCACCUAGGAUUCCAGAUCUGGAUGGAAACACAUUAGUAGCCCACACGGUUCUCUCAACGCAUCAUCCACCACUCAACUGUGGGGCGGUUCUAGCGCAGUUGGUGUGGAUGUCAAGGGGGAGGGGAACGUGUGUGACGAGAAAGAGAGAGCGGGGGGAGGGGAGAAAGAGAGGAGAGGGAGAGAGUCGUGUGUGGGUUUGUUCGUUAUAUAAAAGGCUUUAUCGGAGUACCAAGGGGAACCUUGUCAAACUCCGAGUGAUUUUUCUUGCUUUUGGCAACUUUAUACCUUGAACAAGCUCUAUUACUAAGAAAAGAGGGAGGCUAGAUUGUGCAUGCUUGUGAAUCGUGCACUCGCGUUUCGAUAAGUUUUAUUUUCCAUUUGGGAAAGGGUGCAACACCUCCUUGUUCCCAUUAGAAGAUUAGGUGAAGGCUUAAUAAGAAAUUAGGGAAGGCCCACCCUGAAAUUCAAUAGGAGAAGAGAUUAGGUGGAGGCUUAAUAGGAAAUUAAGGAGCUCCCAUCAGGAAAUUUUGGUGCAGGUAGAUUAGGUGGAGGCUUAAUAGGAGGUUAGCAAGGGCCUACCCUACUAAUUCAAGGGGGGGGGGAGUUACAUGUACAUUAUAUGUGGGCCUGCAUACCACAACAAGACCUCCCGUCCUCACGUUUAAAUUGCCCCGCCCUCUCCCACUUGGUGGGCCCACUUCUCUCCUUGCCGCUCCCAAAAAAGCGUGUCGGCUGAGAGUUGUGCGUGUUGGUCAAUUUGCUCGCUGGAGCGAGCAAAUACCAGUGAGUCAAUGUGAGGUGCUCCCAACCGGCAAGAACACGAAUGACACCAUGCAACAUGCAUCGACCGACCAUGAUUCCUGCAUACAAAUAGUGAACAUCAGACACCAAUGCCCUUACCUCGCUGACCGGACACCCACGGCUCCACUCCCAAACACAGGAAUUGGCGUGAAGUACUCGAUGUCCUCCUAGAAUUCUUGUAGCUCUUCACCCCAUAUUUUUAUUCCUGUUUCUCCCUGUCAAUUAAGACCCCUCUAUUGGAUUUCCCUUUGGCUUGAGAAUGACGGUUGUGACCUCCAUAACAAUGCAACACUCGUCACCCGACUUCUCCUCUUUCUCCUAUGUGUCUUCCUUGCCGAUGAUAGCAAAGUGGACGACCCCAACGACGGUGAUAUCCGCUCGAUGCCAAGGACAUGCGCCGCAUGCGAGGGAAUAUAUGUGAUCCGACAUCCACAACACAAUCCGUAAGGACGAGUUUUCUUCCCAACGAAACCUUCUCUCCUAGCCAAAGAUGACAUCCCUCCUCGAUCUUCUCGUCGGCAUCCGCAGAAGCAACUAUCCUAAUGGUCUAUCGGGAUUGAGGACACCGGAGCGCCAUUCAGAUAUGCCACCAAGAAAGGCGAUGGAGAAGCUCGUUGACCAUUGCACAUGCAGGGAAGGGGGCAACCCAGUUUAGUAAAUUGUAAUAACGAGUUGUAGUGUGCAUCACAAUUAUUGCAUAAACAUCCUUUGAUUAAUUAUAAAAAGAGGAUAAUUCAAAACCUCAUAUAAAAUGCUAUAAAACACACUCAAAUAAUCAAUGCACUGGUAUAAUCCCGCUAAAAAAAUACUAAAAUAUUUACCAUAGUUUCCUUAGGGGGCAGUCCUCUCAUUUAACUAGGCAGGCAAACCCAAGAAGCAAACACUCAUGAGAGACAUAAGCAUUUUCUAGUGAAAAGAAAUAGUGUUGCCAACUAAAGAAAAAAGAAGCAUGCAUAUACUCCCUCCGUUCCUAAAUAUUUGUUUUUUUAGAGAUUCUAAAUGGACUACCACAUACAGAUGUAUAUGGACAUAUUUUAGAGUGUAGAUUCACUCAUUUUGCUUUGUAUGUAGUCAUUUGUUGAAAUCUCUAGAAAGACAAAUACUCCUUCCGUCCCAAAAUUCUUGUCUUAGAUACAUCCGUAAUAUAAAAAUUUUGGGACGGAGGGAGUAUUUAGGAACGGAGGGAGUAGAACACAUGGGCAAUGAUGUACAUCUGAUCUUUUCAAAGGUAUAUGGAGGGACACAAAUAUCAACAUAGAAUAUGGAAUGAGUGGAUCAAAGUUGACUGGGAGUAGAAUCAAUAUGCGCAACAUCGCAUCUUUGAAAGGUUCCAAAUACUCGCAGGCGUCAUUAGUAACAAGUGCAUUUGAAUUAUCACAUGGAAACAACAAAAUAUAUCCAACAAUUCGUUUUCUGGCAGUAUAACAGUGUUGGAUUCAUUGAGAAAUACUGAAUCAUGUUCAUCUAGAGCGUUCUCGUCCUCCUGCGACAUGGUGACAUCUAGGUUUUGCAGGACAAAGCAGGACGCCGAGCUAGUACUUAACCCCAGGAACAUGAGACCAUGCCGUGAAACUCGAAUAUUGUCCUCCGAAGGCUGCAACAGUCAGCUUGAGCCUUGAGGCCACACCGAGGAAUGUUCUUCUUUCUAGGGCCGAAGAUCCUCGCUCUGCUUGUUUCCGGAACCAUUGCUUCUCCAUGUUUGAUCAAAAUUAUGUGAGUGUCGCCUCUUCCUGAGCACUGUCCCUCUCGCUCAUUGCGCCCAAGAUAGACGAUUUACCCCGGAACAUGCAACCACCGUGAUGUGGAGCACGCACAAAAACUGAACCACAGAAAUGGACAACGUUUUAUGGGUAGUCAGCGCAUCUAAGUAAGCUAAGUUGAGACGUGUUAGCAUCGGAGUCGUUGUAGUAUAGUGGUAAGUAUUCCCGCCUGUCACGCGGGUGACCCGGGUUCGAUCCCCGGCAACGGCGAAUUUUUUGUUUCGCGGCCCAUGACAGGCCAGGCCGAUUCUUUUCGGCCUGCUGAGAGCUCGCCUGGCCCGUCCGGGCCUAUUUAUCGUAUGCACCCUCGAAAAGUAUCCCGUUCGCUCUAGAGCCCUGCCAAAACAUUUUCUGUCAUGCUACAAAUUUGUUGUUGCAAUGGCAAAGCAUGCGCGUGCAUAAGGACUACUCCCUCCGUUCGGUGAAGAGUGUACAUUUGGUUUUAGAAUUUGUCAACAAAAAAGUGUACGUCUAUCUUCCUAACACACUUUAAAGUAGAAAAAAUAAUUUUCUUUUAUCACAUGGCAAUCAAGACCAUUAGCAUUCUACAUAUGGUCUCCUUAAUUUCUACAUGCAUUUAGUUUAUUGGGGGUUGGGUAAUUAAAAAGAAGAGAGAUGGUAGUUUGCAUCUUCCCAAUGUAUUUUUACUCGCCUCCAUAAGUUGCCCUAAAAUUUAUAUAUGUACGCUUUUCGCCGGACGGAGAGAGUACUACUACAUUCUAGACAUUGUCUAAAAUGGUUAUAAUGAAUACCAUCGAUUUUGAUAAAAGAAACACUAGUUUUUAGUUCGUGUGUGUUACCCCUGGUUUGUUGGUUUUGCAGCUAUAUUGCUAGCUCAAAUUUAAAUGAACCAGUGUUAUAUUUGUAGAUCAAAUGAGUUAGUAUUGUAUGUUAUGCGUUUAUGUCGGUCUUUUUCUCCGAUUUAACCGGAAGAAAUUCUUAGAUUUUCGAAUUUGGCUCAGUCGAUUUCGUUGGGAAGGAAGAAGGAAGCGCGGGGCAGGGCAAAACGCCGUCAAGGCCUCAGCUAGGAACAAAUGUAGGCGGAGGCGAGUUCAAAGGUUAACGGUUCGGGGUGCAGACUUGCAGAGAAAUUUUAGUGGUUCGCCGGUUUAGAGGGAUGGCCAUGAUGGCUGGCGCCAACAUGAUGAUGAGGAGAGUGGGGUGGCGGAGGCAAGCAAUUUGGCCGGUGGUCAUGGACGGUUUGGCAAAGAAGAUGAAUAGGGGAGGACAGUAGGUGGAAGAUGACCAUCUGGUCGUUGGCUGGACGGUUCAGAAAAAUCAACCAACCCAAUCUUUUUUUUAUCGGCCAACCUUUGGUCAUCCUUUUUUUUUUCUCAUGAGUAACUGUGUCAAGGUGAUUCUUAAACCCCAAUCAAGGUUGGAAUAUGUUUUUGUUUGUUUUAUUCUCUUAAUUGCAUAAGUAGAAUAGAAAUAGAAUUUAAGCUAGACUCGUCUUCACUAGAAUCAUAAUCCUAAUCUAUGCUCAUGCAUAUUGUUAAUGUACUACAUUCUCCUAUCUGUCUGAUCGAAAUUAUGUGAGUGCCGCAUCUUCCUGAGCACUGUCCCUCUCGCUUAUUGGGGCCAAUAGAGACGAUUUACUCCGGAACAUGCAACCACCAUUAUGUGGAGCACGCAUGAAAAGAGAUCUAGAGGAAUGGAGAACGCUACGUCUAAGUAAGCUAAGUUGAGUAGCAUUAGCAUGUACUCCCCUUGUUUCUAAAUAUUUGUCUUUUUAGAUAUUUUAAAUGGACUGUCAUAUACAGAUGUAUAUGGACAUAUUUUAAAGUGUUGACAUGGUGUUUUCCACCCAACCCUGCACCUUGCUCCAUAAACGAUCUUUGAGGUAUUUAAAGGCCCCAUUCUUCGAACUCCCAAUAUCUUAUGGCAUCCCUAGAUACUUCUCAUUUAAAGUUUCAUUGGGUAUAUUGAGUAAAUCCUUUAUUUCAGUUCUGGUAGCCUCCGGCACCCCCUUGCUAAAAAAUAUUGAAGAUUUUGCAAAGUUCACUCACUGACCUGAUGCUUGACAAUAUGUAUUCAGUACUAGGUUCACCUCAUUAGCUCCUGCACUAUUUGCCUUGCAGAACAGCAGGUUGUCAUCAGCGAAUAACAGAUGGCUAAUUGGUGGCGCCGUAGGAGCCACUUGUACACCACCCAGAUUGGAUGACUCACUCUUUGAUUUUAACAGGCACGACAGGCCCUCUGCUGCUAGCAAGAACAAGUACGCAGAUAUUGGGUCCCCUUGUCUGAUUCCUCUUGAAGGUUGGAAUUCCUCCAGUCUCUUCCCAUUAAACAUGACAGAAAACUGUACAGUAGUGACCAGUCCCAUAACUAUGUCCACCCAUCUCUCAGUGAACCCCAGCUUUACCAUGAUUGCUCUCAAAUAUGGCCACUCCACCCUAUCAUAGGCCUUCAUCAUGUCUAGCUUCAGGGCAAAAGACUGGUGUUUUUUGGCUUUAUUUCUCUUCAUAAAAUGUAGGCACUCGUAAGCAGUGAUGAUGUUAUCAGUGAUUAGUCUGCCAAGGACAAAAGCAGACUGUUCCUCAGAAAUAAUGUUAGGUAGUACCACCUUAAGGCGAUUGGAGAUAACUUUGGAAGCAAUUUUGUAGAAAACAUUACACAAACUAAUGGGACGAAACUGGUUCAGUAGGGUUGGAUUUUUGACCUUGGGAAUCAACACCAAUACAGUCUCAUUGAUGCAUGUUGCCGAUUCUGUGCCCUCAACAAUUUUAAGCACGACUUUGGUGAUCUCGUCUCCCCAUGUCUCCCGGUGCUGCUGAAAGAAGUGAGCAGGAAAGCCGUCUGGUCCUGGUGCCUUAGUAGGAAACAUUUGAAAAAGAGUCGUCUUAACUUCUUCUGCACUGUACGGAGCAUUCCACAGCGCAUUCAUCGCUUGCGUCACUAGUAGAAAACAUGGCUUUGGUCACGGGGCAAUAUUCACAUUAGUCCCGGUUCAGUCAUGAACCGGGACUAAUGUGAGCAUUGGUCCCGGUUCGUGCGGCUAAGGCAUUAGUCCCGGUUCACUUGAGCCCUUUUAGUCCCGGUUUGAGACACGAAAUGAGACUAAAGGGUGCGAUGCCCUUUAGUNNNNNNNNNNGGUUUGUGUCUCAAACCGGGACUAAAGAUUAGACCUCUAGUCCCGGUUUGAGACACGAACCGGGACUAAAGGGUGCGAUGCCCUUUAGUUCCGGUUUGUGUCUCAGACUGGGACUAAAGGUCCCAUUUUCAAACUCUACCCCCCUGGAUCGCCUUUCUUGUUUUGAAAAAACCAAAAGAAAAUGAUAAAAACUUCAAAAAAUAAAAUCCUUCGAGAGGUAGUUAUAUUACUACAUCUACUAGUUAGGAAAAUUUAAAAACUGAAAUUUGGACAUGUUUUGCAAAAAAUGUAGGGAAAAUGUAAAACGGCUAUAACUUUUGCAUACGAUGUCGAAAAAAAACGUAUAAUAUAUCAAAAUGUUCAGAACAAAAAUCCGCUUCCGAUUUUGACCGCCUACGGCCUGUUUGCAAAUUUUUAGAAUCCUCAAAUUCUAAAAGGAAAAAAGUUAUGCUCAAAUUUCAGUUUUUUUUGUAUUUUCGUUAAAUCUGGUCAAAGUAUGGUCAAACUACUUAUUCAAGAAAUAUUAGUGUUAUUAAAUAAUUAUUCAAGAAUAUUAGUGUUACUAAAUAAUUAUUUUGGUUUUUCUGAAUUUUUGUCAAAUCUGGUCAAAUUGUGGUGUAACAAUGGUCAAACUAUGGUCAAACUAUUUAUUUAAGAAAUAUUAGUGUUACUAAAUAAUUGUUUCGUUUUUUUUUGAAUUUUGGUCAAAUCUGGUCAAACUUUGGUAAAACUAUUGUCAAACUAUUUAUUCAAGAAAUAUUAGUGUUACUAAAUAAUUAUUGGUUUGUACAAUAAUAGUUUCAAACUCAAACAGUGAAAUGUGUGACUUCAUGCUCAAGCUAAACUCUGAAGGGCUAAUAGGAUUGGCAUCUUACUAUUAUCAGGAAAACAACAAGUGCAGACUUGGAAACGAAGGAGAAUAGAACCUGAAAGUUAAGUGUGCUCGGGCUGGAGUAGUGAGAGGGAUGGGUGACCGGACGGGAAGUUAGAUGAUUCGGAAUGAUGAGGGGUGAUUAGAGAUUAGAGGUUAAAUUGAGCAAUGAUGAGGGGUGGGUGAUUAGAGAUUAAAUUAUAAAAUAAUUCGGAAAUUUGAAAAUCGAGAAAAAAAUUCAAUUUUUUUUUAAAAAAAAUUACCUUUAGUCCCGGUUGAUGUUACCAACCGGGACUAAAGGUGGAGCUGGUGGAGCUCUAGCCAGCGGCCACGUGGGUUCCUGAUUGAACCGGGACUAAAGGGUCAGGGCAUUAGUAACGAUCCUUUAGUCCCUGUUCACAAAACCGGGACAAAAGGCCCUUCCCAACCGGGACUAAUGACCCUUUUUCUACUAGUGCGUUACCUUGCAUGGUACUGUUUCGAGGACCCGUUCCAUGUCACCACCCCUUCUGUCGUGUACAAAUCUUUGUAGAAAGCAGUUGUCAUAUUUUCCAUCUCCACCACGUUUUCAGUAACCUGACCGUCAGCAAGCUGCAGCGAUUUGAUCUAGUUUUUGUGUCGCCUCCUGCUCGCUCUCAUGUGGAAGAAAUAGGUGUUUUUGUCGCCAUGCAUGAGCCAGUCAACCCUGGCUCGUUGCCUCCGCAAGAUCUCCUCACGGUGAAAAAGUUCAAUCAAGCGGUCACAUAUUUUUGUCUCCUGCCGUGAGGGGCCGGAGCUUCCUGGGAGUUCGUGCAUCACCUGUAUCCUUUUUUAAUUCAGCUAUCUCUCUAUGAACGCUGCCAAAAUGUUGCCGAUCCCAGGUAGCUAGGUCACCCGACAGCGCUUGUAGCUUUGUCUUCACCUGCACCACCGAAUCCCCCUGCACCUGGUUCCAACCCGCAUGCACCACUGUUUCCAGCAUCGGGUUGCGCUCCCAGCAUACUUCGUAUCUAAACGGUCGUGGCCCCCUUCUGCAUGCAUGCAUUGCUUGGAGCCUAAGCAUCAUAGGUACGUGGUCAGAUGUAGCAGCAGUAAGGUGCUCCAGAGAAGCAUCUGGGAAGGCCAGAACCCAAGCGGGAUUAGCCACGCCCUUGUCCAACCGCACCCUUGUGUACGUUACCUUUUUCUACUAGUGCGUUACCUUGCAUGGUACUGUUUCGAGGACCUGUACCAUGUCACCACCCCUUCUGUCGUGUACAAAUCUUUGUAGAAAGCAGUCAUCAUAUUUUCCAUCUCCACCACGUUUUCAGUAACCUGACCGUCAGCAAGCUGCAGCGAUUUGAUCUGGUUUUUGUGUCGCCUCCUGCUCGCUCUCAUGUGGAAGAAAUAGGUGUUUUUGUCGCCAUGCAUGAGCCAGUCAACCCUGGCUCGUUGCCUCCACAAGAUCUCCUCACGGUGAAAAAUUUCAAUCAAGCGGUCACAUAUUUUUGUCUCCUGCCGUGAGGGGCCGGAUCUUCCUGGGAGUUUGUGCAUCACCUGUAGUUCCUUUUUUAAUUCAGCUAUCUCUCUACGAACGCUGCCAAAAUGUUGUCGAUCCCAGGUAGCCAGGUCACCCGACUGCGCUUGUAGCUUUGUCUUCACCUGCUCCACCGAAUCCCCCUGCACCUAGUUCCAACCCGCAUGCACCACUGUUUCCAGCAUCGGGUCGCGCUCCCAGCAUACUUCGUAUUUAAACGGUCGUGGCCCCCUUCUGCAUGCAUGCAUUGCUUGGAGCCUAAGCAUCAUAGGUACGUGGUCAGAUGUAGCAGCAGUAAGGUGUUCCAGAGAAGCAUCUGGGAAGGCCAGAACCCAAGCGGGAUUAGCCACGCCCCUGUCCAACCGCACCCUUGUGUAUGUGCCGCCCACCACCUUCUUCUCAAAGGUCCAGCUCUGUCCCUUAUAACCAAUGUCAGAUAAACCGCACGUGUCAAUAGCGUCUCGGAAUACGUGCAUCUGUUCUUGGCUUCGCUGGCCAAUUCCAUCGUGCUCAUGGGCAUGAAGUACUUCGUUAAAGUCCCCAAUGACUAUCCAUGGAUCGUUGCUCAUUCCUGCAAUUCCACGCAACAUGUCCCAAGUUUUGUACCGCUCGCUUGUUUGGGCCUCACCAUACACAAAGGUGAUUUUGGUUUUGAUAUCUACCAUCUGUUCAACCAAAACGUCUAUGUGAUACUCAGAAUAACUGAUAACCUCGAGCUUUAUUUCCUCAUUCCAAAAAAUGCCUAGUCCACCACUCCUGCCGGAGCUGUUUACAACAAAGCUUUUAUUAUAACCUAGAGUUCCUACCAGAUUCUCAACUCGUGAGCCCUCUAACUGAGUUUCAAGGAUGCAUACAAUAGAGGGGGCAAGUUGCUUCGAAAGAUCUCGAAGCUCUCGAACUGUCCCGGGUCUGCCAGCCCCACGACAGUUCCAAACUAGGCAACUCAUUGCGCCAGGCGCGACCCGUUGAUAGGGCCCGCCGAUUGCGCGCUGUUUUGGGUGUUUGAGGGUUUGUUCUUCACUUGGUUCUUCUUCAACUGAGGUGGGUUGGUCUUCGUUCUUUUGGUUUCUUGCUUCGACGAAGGGCUCUGUGGAACAGUUUCUGUGGCAAGUGUUUGAGGUUCCAUCGAAGAUGAUGGGUUGGCUCCUGGAGCAGUAAGCAAGAGCGCAUUUGCAAGGGCACCUCUGUUGCGAUUCACUUCUCCUUCUUCCAUCUCUGUAUCCGGAUCAGUAGCAGGGUCAUAUUUAUCUAGAUGUGUUUGACCGAAACCACGCCCUACGUGUCCUGCACGGCCAUUGCCUCGCCCUCGUCCACCUUCCGAGCCUCUUGCCUCUCCUGGUUCGCGACCUGGUCCCCUAAACCAAUCUGCUUUCAGGUUUUUGAACACUAGCGCUGAUGGGGGGUGAACCCCAUCGCCGCAUUCUUUGAACGGAUGGCCUAGCAAUCCACAUAUAGCACACCAAUCUAGGAGCCUUUCAUAUUUCACUCUGUAAAUCUCUCUCUUCUUCCUGAUCACCAGCGAGACAGCGUUCUUGAGCGGCUUUGUGACGUCCACCUUCACCCGAACCCUAAAAAAGUUACCCUCAAAGUCCUGGGAUUUGGGCUCAGCAAAUAUGAAAUCACCCACCGUAGCAGCUAGCAAUUUAAUCAGGUGGAAGAACAAUUCAGGGAGAUCAUGAAUCGGAAUCCACAUCUCAAUUUUAUCAAGAACAAUGGACGAUAGCCUAGUGAAACCAUCAUAGGGCUCGAUCACGACCGCUUUCCCUUUGAAGGUCCAAGGGCCAUCGCCCAUGACUCUCUCCCAAUCUCCCGGGCAGGAGAAUUGCAAGGUAUAGAGGUUUUCUUCUAGCGGACGGAACUUGACCUCUUGCGCUAGAUCCCAUGCCACCCACAUGUUGUGAAAGAACCAGUACUGGCUGUACGGCUUGUCCGUGUGAACCCGCGCGAUCGCCAUCCAACGCGCUACUUCCUCUGGAAUAUCACCGUCCUGAACCAUGAUGUCCUCCAGAUCAUCUUCUUUCAGGCCUAGUUCCUUCAUCAUAGCCUCCAUCUCGCUCAUCGCUGCGGCUGAAGCCGACGUUGAGCCUUCCAUCAGAUCUCUUGCCCGAGAAGACGGUUUCCGCGGGCGGGAGGACCCAAGCCAGGUCACCCAGCACUCACGCACGCCAGCAAGCCUAAGCCGCCGGCGAUCGGUGGUCUGAGAGACGCAGGGGAUCGCGAUCUCCACGUCAAUGCCUAGGCGCCGCCGGGAGGAGAGAAAAACCCUAACUAGAGGGGAAUAUUUUCAGGUCUGUGUUCAAAAUAGUUGUUUUUAAGCGAUGCGAAGGUGUACCAUGGGCCAUGGCUAGACUAGGCCUGGCCGGCGUUAUAACCGGGAGAAGGAAAUAUCCAGGUGAAAAGAGAAAAAACGGAGCCCGCUAGGGUUUCCCUCCGCCGCCGCCGCCCUCCCCCGCUCCCGCCGCCGCCGCCCUCCCCCGCUCCCGCCGCNNNNNNNNNNNNNNNNNNNNNNNNNNNNNNNNNNNNNNNNNNNNNNNNNNNNNNNNNNNNNNNNNNNNNNNNNNNNNNNNNNNNNNNNNNNNNNNNNNNNNNNNNNNNNNNNNNNNNNNNNNNNNNNNNNNNNNNNNNNNNNNNNNNNNNNNNNNNNNNNNNNNNNNNNNNNNNNNNNNNNNNNNNNNNNNNNNNNNNNNNNNNNNNNNNNNNNNNNNNNNNNNNNNNNNNNNNNNNNNNNNNNNNNNNNNNNNNNNNNNNNNNNNNNNNNNNNNNNNNNNNNNNNNNNNNNNNNNNNNNNNNNNNNNNNNNNNNNNNNNNNNNNNNNNNNNNNNNNNNNNNNNNNNNNNNNNNNNNNNNNNNNNNNNNNNNNNNNNNNNNNNNNNNNNNNNNNNNNNNNNNNNNNNNNNNNNNNNNNNNNNNNNNNNNNNNNNNNNNNNNNNNNNNNNNNNNNNNNNNNNNNNNNNNNNNNNNNNNNNNNNNNNNNCGGCGGGCGCGCCCCGGCUCCUCCUCCCCCUCCCCUCCUCCCCCGUACCCCCCGCGUCGCCUCCCCGAGCGAGGCGGCCGGGGGCUCCCCUUCCCUGCCCCUCCCAGCGCCCCCCUCCUCCUUUCCCCUCCCGCCGCCGCCGGCGUAGGCCACUGGGCCUGGCUCGCGUGAUGCCGCCGGCGGCGGCCCUGUUCUCUUCCUCCCCGCGCGGCGCUGUAGCUCGGGCGUUGGCGCCGGCGGCGGUGCACCCAGGUCGGCUUCGGAUCCGGUGGCGGCUCGUCUUCGCAGGCGGCGCAGCUCCGGGUGGCAUGGUGGCGGUGGCGUGGCUGCUUGGCUGCGGGGCGGCGCGGUGGCUGGCGGCGGUGCCCUUCCGGCCCAGAUCUGGGCCCUUUUGGGCCCCAUCUGGGUCUGGGUGGGCCUGGCGUGUGCUUUCCGGCGUCAUCUCCGGCGGACGGAGGUGUGGCUUGGGCUGGGGGUGGCGGAGACGGUGGCGCGUGUACUGCAGCGCAGCGACGGGAGCUUCACGAGCCCGCUUCGGGCUCGGCCGGGCAGGGGUGCCUGGUUUGCUCCUAAGCUACGUCCGGUCGGUCACCGCCGAAGGUGGUGGAGGUUGUCCCCUCCCACGUGGCCGCUGACCCUGCUGCUCCUCGUUUUCGGCUGGUUCCUCUCGAUCCCGCCGGUCUCGCUUCGCUUGUCACGGUGAGACGGCGAUGGUGACUGCGUGUCCGUGGUGGCGCAUAUUGGUGGACGGCAAGUAUGGUGGAUCGCGAUGGAUCGUCUGGGGUCGUGGUUGGUAGGAGGUUGGGAGAAAUCCUUGUCGGCUUGUUCGGCACCGACGCGGUGACGCCCGUGGGCGUCGCCGUGCCUUCCUGAAGGGCGUCGGAUAUCCCCCUUCCUCCCACGGCCCUUCGCGUACCGGGGGAAACCCUAGGCCAUGUCCGGUAGCAGCGUCGUUGUCGUCGCGUUCCUUCUUGAAGGUGUUACUUGGUAUGCGGCGUUUCGUGGUGCUAGGAGCGUGGUGGAACUCUCCGGCGGGCGCAGCGGUGGUGAGUCAUCUUCGUUUUUGUUGAUCCGCCGUUGUCGGCAUUUUUUUUUCCUUUUGUGUUUUCUCUUUUUUUUUUCUUUUGGGCGUGCCUGUGCUGCUUCCGCCCCAGCACCUAUCGUGGGUUGUAUCGAUGUUGUUGCUUUGUAAUACAAAGCGGGGGGAAACCCUUUCUCGGCAAAAGAGAAAAAACUGAUCUGUAGUUCUGUACCGUACUGCUUUACAGGCCGCGCUGCCCAUCGGAGACGCGCAUGGAGAUCGACGCGCAUCCUUCUUCCUCAGCCUCGGCUGCUGCUGCGUCCUCGUCCUCGUCGCCUACGUAAUACCCCCAACCCCUAUCUCGUCCUGUACUCCUCCAUAUCUCUCUCUCCCUCUUGUUCUGCAUCCCGUUUCCGUUCACCUGCGGAUGUUGAAUCAGAUCCGCCUACAUCUGCAAGAUUAAUCACACCUCAAUAUAUGGAACUAAAUUGGGUAGAUAUAGUUACAGUUUUGCUAAAGCACAUCUAGAUGUGCCAUAAAUAUUGCACAUCUAGGUCCUAAAGUCAUUGAUCUUACACGGAGAUUCCUGUGGAUAAUUUCUUUUUUCUUUUUCUUUUUCUUCUUAUGGCUUGAUUGAGUCAUUUAGAUGUGCAAUAACUAGGGCACAUCUAGUUAAGUCGUAGAUGGAUUCUGCUUAUUCUCGAAGAAGAAAAACAAUCCAGAUUGAGACUUUCCCUGCUUUAGGUGUCCAACAUUGCAGCUAAUAACGGAGGGAGAACCAUAUGUGCUCUGCUUUCCUUUUUCAGGCAGAAUCAACACUUGCCAGAUACAGUAUUAAUUUGAGAAAUAGGCGAUUUGUGGUUUGUAUUGUUCAGUAGACGCGAAGAAUUAUAUGAAACUUUAACAGGCCGUCUAUCUACCGCGUAGCUUCUACAUAGUUGUUAAUUUUAUUCUCAGGAGCGACAACGUCAGUAUUUUUUGUUAAUUUUAGUGUAUGAUGCAAGUGUAGUGACGUGUUGAUGUUGGAACGAUACACACAAGUCGUGUUUUCUGAAUCUUGGUAGCUCCUGUUUCUUUUUGUACAACUACACCUUGCUGCGCAUGUCUAACCUUUUGUCCUGAAUUUUAUGUGUCGCCAGGGAGAGCGCUGUCAUGCAAAUCAGGGCGAAGAGAACCUGCUAUGCCGCUGCCUCAUCUGAGGCACGAGGAUGGGCCGAGCUCCCGGACGACUUGCUCCGACCCAUCGUUGCUCUCCUCAGCUCGUCGUUCCGCGACCUCCUCGCCUUUGGUUCCACCUGUCAUCCCUGGCGUGAUUUCUCAGCGCACACGUCCUCUUUGUACCCUCUCCUCCUCCACCCGAGUACCGACCGCCAACAGUAUCCCUGGUAUGACUAUGACUACUGGACCCUUUUCCACGAAUGCACGUGGAGAUUGGCUGAUCCUGCUGCCGCCUCAUCCUAUCCCAGUUUGCUUUCCUUGAGUGAUCUCAGGGGAAUGUUCUUUCUGCGCUGCUCCUACGGUCACCUCAUCUUCUUCGACAAUAAGGGGUUCUACAUUGUUAAUGCGUUCAGUGGCGCUAAGGUUGUGCCUCCUUGCCUCAAGUCAGACAACUUCAUUCACAUUAGCUAUGCCACCUUGACUGCCCCUGUUGCAUCCGCUGACUCGCAUCUCCUUGUCGGCAGCGGAGGCUAUCUGUUUCAGUGGCGCGUCGGGAGCGACUCUUGGUUGGAACACUAUCCUAAAGUUCCUUUUCUUACGAUUGAACAAAUUGUGGCCUUCAAAGGCAAAACAUACACCCUAGGGUCUUUUGGGUCCUUCUGCAUCGUACAAUUUUCGCCCUGUCUCUUAGUUCAGAAGUUUGAAAUUAUGUUUGAGGAAGAUAGAACUGAAGAUCGCUAUUGGACAAAUCAAAAAACAUGGCUUGUGGUGUGCGACGUGCUUCUCUUAAUCAAACUUGAGGCAGUAAAAAGGAUAAGCUCUGAGGCUUUCCAGUUCAAGGCCUUCAAGCUCAAGUCGUUGGACGCCAAGAACAAGAAAGCAAGGUGGGCGAAGGUGGACAGGUUGAAUAACUGGGCCAUCUUUGUCAGCGCCGACGGGCGAUGCGAGGCGUUGUCGUUCAUGAACCCGGAGAGAUGGGGAGGGAGGAGCAACCACAUAUACUUCCCAAGUUAUGAGUCUGAACGACCUUGGGCUGCAGUGCAACUAUGGCAAAAAGCUAACAACCAUUCGACAAGUUCGUGGCUCUCGAAAACUGGAAGCCAGUACCACAGAUUGGUGCCAACCUGGGUCCUCCCUAGCGCAUAUCCUCGCUCUGGUCAGCAAUGAUCUUACGGCCAUCGCAGGCGUGGUUGGUGAUUGUCCUCUGAUACAGCUUCCCUGGGAGAGUUCUACCUUGUUUGGAGCAGUUACAUGAUGAGUAGUUUUACUGAAUGUUCUUAACUUUUUUUCUAAACUUGCAUUGCAAACAGAAGCUUUCACUGUAGAGUUAUCUGAUUCUGCUUUUUUUUUGUGGGAUUAUAAGGGACCUUAUGUUUUAUUGCUCAUCUACUACAAAUUACGGAGAUUACUUGUACUUGCGCCACUUGAUAACUUUGGGUUAGGCCUGCAACUUACUUUUAUACUACACACAUAAGGUGUUCAUCUAGGAGACUAGGACUGAGCCCAAAAAGCAAUUUCCUAAUAAACUCGCUAGUAUCUGUGCAGUGCUCAUUAUUCAUCAAGUUAUAAGCUUACUGCUGUUCUUCAUCUUUUCAUGUUGAACAAACUUGUGAUGUCUUUUAUUUAGUGCCAUGGCAGCUGUUUUGCUUCGAAUAAGUGUGCCAUGGCAAAGGUUUGCAUACUCACUGCGCAUGUGCCAUGGCAGGCGUCUUUCCCAUCGGGUUAGCCAGGUUUACAUGUUGCUUUUUUCGCCAAAGCUUGUUAAUUACUCCCAUUUUGUUAAUUAAGAAGCUUUGGCGAAAAAAGCAACAUGUAGAACAGGUUUUUGCCUCCAAGAACGUACAUUGGAUAGCAAACAAAGAUUAUUACAAAUCUUGAUGCACUACAUCAGAGAAGCGAAAAGAAUAAGGGAGUGUUUAGUUCGGUACUUCAGCCUGCCACUCCAACCUGCGGCAAGCCGCAAGUGAGGCGGACGAUCCGUCCGCCACACGCAGUGGCGGAGCUAUGUUGGGGCCAGGGGGAGCCGCUGCCCCCCCAGCCUUUUACCAAUUUCUGAAGAAAUUCUUUUUAGGGAGACUUAGAUUAGAACAUUUUUAGCAUUUGGCCCCCCCAGACACUGAUGAUUUGUGUUUCGCCCCCCCAGAGUUUUUCGGCUAGCUCCGCCACUGGCCACACGUUAGGCACGAAAAAGUGCAACACGGUAGUUUGUUUUGCUAUCACAUACUACAGCGUGUCAGGAAGCAAACAGUUGCCGGAGAUUGUCUGGCACGCCGCGCAUGUGGCACGGCAACCAAAGGCGUGAUCCAAACACACCCUAAGUACCAUAACAAUGGAACACAAACAGCCCCCAAGUGCAGCCAGUGGCAACAAGCCAACUACAUGGUGCAACGACACGAUCUCAUACCCAAGCAGCAAAAGAUGUAGGAUUGCGAACAAGUUGAGCAUUUAUCGUCGUAAAACAAGGUUCUGGCACCCACUUCUUAUUUCGGUUGCCAUCUUCUGGUUAUGAAAAUACUCGAGCAUUUUUAUCCAACUCGUAGACAUGGCCAUCCCUUAACCCCAUCCCCUCUUGGUUCACUAAGUUUCAUGGCUGUUUUUGGCCAAAGAAGCAUGCACACUUGUUCAUGCCUCCAUCUAUCCCCUCGCAUACUUUACAGUUUCAGUCGAAAAAUCGAUGGAGAAGGCAUCCCCGUUACAGCCAAGUAGGAGAAGCGUAUCUUCUCAAGCUACCAAAUUUCCCGAAAGCAUCUACCGGUCCAUAUAAUUGCUGCAAGAAACUCUUAGUACCUCACCAUGAAAACUAGGGUGCCAAAUGCACGGUGUACAACCUUUGAUGUAUCCUCAUAAUGAUCCGGCCUUUGAAGGCCACCAUCUCUUGGAUCAAAUGUACACUUACAAAAUCACAGCCCAAUCAAGUGGGGCUCCCAACCUCUCUUGUAGUCCAUGUGAUGUCAUGAGAUAGUUGGAGCCGAUGGUGGUUGUUCUACAUUGCCAAUCAAUGUUUUUAGAGAUAAUAAUAGAGGGUGUGGAUCACUGAUUCUCAAUUUGCUAGGAAAAUCAUAUGUGAUCUGCUUUUAUUUUUCUGUCAGUAUCGACACUUGCCAGAUACAGUAUUAAUUUGAGAAAUACUAGGCGCAAAGAUUUAUUUUCUAUCUAGCGCAUAUAUAUAAGUUCCCCAAAGAAUUGAUAUCCAGUGCCUGCAUCAUUGUUUAUCCAUGGCCAGCUCAUCUUCUACGACAACAAUGGGUUCCAUAUUGUUAAUCCAUUCGGUGGCACUAAGGUUGGUCCUCCUUCCCUCCGGUCAGUUCACUUCACUUGCAUCAGCUAUGUCACCUUAACUGCCCCUGUUGCAUCCGCUGAUUCGCAUCUCAUUGUCAGUGUUGUAGCCUAUCUGUUCCUGUGGCGCAUCGGGAGCGACUCUUGGACAAAACACAGUCCUAAAGUUGGUCGUUUUUUUAUUGAACAAAAUGUUGCCUUCAAGGGCAAGACAUAUGCCCUAGGGUCUUUCGGGUGGUUCUACAUCAUUCACUUGUCACCCAGUCUCAUUAUUCAGAAGUUUAGUUGUGUUUGAGGAAGAUAUAACCGAAGAUCUCUAUUCGGCAAAUGAAAAAGCAUGGCUAGUGGUGUGUGCUGAUGCACUUCUCUUGGUCAAGCUUGUGGAGGCGGGAAGAAGGAUGCGCUCAGAGGCCUUCCAGUUCAUAGCCUUCAAGCUUGAGUCGUUGGACACCAUGACCAAGAAGGCAAGGUGGGUCAAGGUGAACAAGUUAGAUAACCGGGCCAUCUUUAUCAGCAUUGACGAGUGGUGCGAGGCGUUGCCGUGCAUGAACCUGGAGGGAUGGGGAGGGAGGAGCAACCACAUAUGCUUCCCAAGUUAUCGGUCUGAACAACCUUGGGCUGAAGUCCAACUAUGGAAAAUGUGUUAUUACCAUUCGACAUGUUCGCAGCUCUUCAACACUAGAAGACAGUACCUGAAAUUGGAGUCAACCUGGGUCUUCCCCGUGCAUUUCCUUGUUCCGGCCAGCGAUGAUCUUACGGCCGUGGGUGCGGUUGGUGAUUAGCUUAUGAUACUGCUUUGGUGGGAGGAUUCUACCAUGUUGCAGUUGCAGGAUGAGUAGUUCACUGAAUGUUCUUGACGUUUUUCGAAACUUGCAUUACAAACAGAAGUUUAGAUUAAGUUAUCAGAUUAUAUGUACUCUCCUUUUUUUUCUGCGGCGAUUACAAGGGAACCAUAUGUUUUAUUUCUCAUCUAUUACAGAUUGUGGAGUUUUCUUGUACUUGGGCACUUGAUAACAUGGCCAGGCCUGUAACUUCCCAUUCAUACAUACAUAGAUACCUAUAAGGUGUUGGUAUUGCAACAGAGUAAUUGUACUAUGGUUGUUGAUUAUUCACGUGAUGUGCUUGAGCAUAUGACAGUCUCAUUUGGUGGAAAUGUGAAUAUUGAGAAAAUAGCUUGGGCAGAGCUAAAAAAAAUUAACAGAACAUGGUACGCCAUUUUGGGCUGGAGAGUUGCAAGGUCACCAAGAAUUGGAGUGAGGAUGCAAGUCCAUAGACAUCAGGUUAAUAUAAACUACAAGUUCAGCCAGCAAACAUAUAAGCAGCAUAUGUGCAUUCAUCACAAAGUUUGUGUUUGACAACCAAACAACUCUGCAUUUGCAGGUAGCUUCAGCAAACAGCUCUGCGUGCAUUUGAUUAUCUCUGUAUAAAAGGAGAUCAAGCUACAAGUAGAUGUAUGGACCAAACAAAGCACAUAACUCAAAUAAAAGCCCAGGCACAUCUGACAUGGUGCACACAAAAAAUGUUGAAGAGUGAUAUGAAGACGCAAGAAGCUAGUAUUGUUUCAGGAUGCAAGCCCUUAUCUCUUGUAUGCAAAACGGGAGUAAUUAACAAGGUUCAGCGAAAACAGCAACAUGUAGCACAAGUUUUGCCUCCAGGAACGUACACUGGGUAGCAAACAGAGAUUAUUACAAAUCUUGAUGUACUCCAUCAGAGGAGCGGAAACUAGAAGGAACAUAGCGACCGAAUACAAAAAGUCCCCAAGUGCAUCCAACGACAACAAGACAACUGCACGGUACAACCCACAUGAUCUCAUACCCAAGCUGCAUAGGAUGUAGGAUUGCGAGCAAUAUGAGCAUUGAUCGUUGCAAAACAAGGUUCUGGCUCCAACUCCUCAUUUUGGUUGCCAUCUACUGGUAUGAAAAUACUCGAGCGUUUUCAUCCAACUGGUAGACAACACCACCCCUUAAACCCAUCCUCUCUGGGUUCACUAAGUGUCGUGGAUGUCCAAUGUGUUUCUGGCCAAAGAAGAACGCCCAGUUCUUCAAGCCUCCCUCUUCUACUCUCACAAACUUUGCGGGUUCAGUUGAGAAAUCAAUGGAGAAGGCUUCCCCAUUACGACCAAGUAGGAGAAGUGUGUCUUCACAAGCCACCAAAUUUCGGAAAGCACAUACGGGUCCAUAUAAUCUCUGCAAUCAACUCUUAGUACCUCAACAUGAAACUGAGGUGCCAAAUGCACGGUGUAUAGUUUUUGACGUAUCUUCAAAAUGAACUGGCCUUUGAAGGACACCAUCUCCUUGACCAAAUGUGCAUUUAGAAAAUCGCAGUGCAACCAAGAGGGGCUCCCAACUCGCCAAGCGUACAGGCAGUGUGGGCUGCUGACAAAUAGAUAUGAAUCUGGUGAUGCUUCUGGAGAUAUGAAGGUUCUAGAGCAGAGUUGAUUCAACGGGAAAGGUGGAGCUGCAACCGUAGUGCCAGUGAGCACGUCCAUAAUGAUAAGGGAUCUGUCGUAGAAGAAAAUCGCAUAAUCAUAGGAACAUUUGAUGACUGCCACUUUGUCCAAAAUACUUGGAGGGGUCAAGCGACACAACGGAGUACUUGGAUAUACAGGAUCAAUGAGCUCCCAUGUGUUUCCAAUGUUCGAGCCAGCUGAGCUUGUCUGGUCGGCACAGUUCCGAAAAAUAACAGGUGGGAAGAGCUUGCCUAAGGUAGAUCUGAUUGACAUAAAUGCGGCAUACCAGCUAGGGCAGGUGGCGAUGAAUGCAAGAAGGUCACGAGUUGAACCCAACAGGACAAUGAUGGAGUGCAAUAAUCCAUGUGGUAGGUCCGCCCAGCCUUCGGGUCCAAACAUGACACGGUGCACGGAGAUGGGGUGUUGGAGCUCUGGUUGAUGUUUUGCAUGAUAUCAGCUCCAAAUUCU